CCUCCCAGGGAACCCUCCUGGCCUGAUGCCCGCCCUCUCCCUAGAGCACCUCAUGAAGCUUUCCUGGAGCACUGUCUGGGAGUUUCAGGAGCGACUCUCUCAGAGCUGGGCCCUGGAGGACAACGCGGUCCUCAGGAACCUUCAAACCUCUAUGAAGGAACUCACAAAAAAACACUGGGACCUGCCACCCCCAGGGAGCUUGCUACAAAAUGCACAUUGCUAUACCAUAGCCUGGGGCUUGCAAUCCAAGGCUGGCAAGGAUUCCUGCACGUCAAGGGCCUCAGGUGACUUUCAUGCACACCCAAGUCAGAAGGCUCUCCUGAAUCCUGGAUGUCACCUUCCUGCCCAAAAAAGGAGGAACGAGGGUCAACCAGCAGCAGACCAGUCACAAAAAGAGAUGAAAUCCUGAGGAGAGGAGAAGCUGUCAGUGAGGUCCCUGAAGUUACCCAGGCCCAGAAGAGACACAGCAUCAGCUGACAACUGCAGUAAAUGCC
rnacentral:lncRNA from 1 species